GCCCGGCUAGCUCAGUCGGUAGAGCAUGAGACUCUUAAUCUCAGGGUCGUGGGUUCGAGACCCACUUCGGGCG
rnacentral:tRNA from 2 species